UGGCUCAGGACGAACGCUGGCGGCGUGCUUAACACAUGCAAGUCGAACGAUGAAGCCGCUUCGGUGGUGGAUUAGUGGCGAACGGGUGAGUAACACGUGGGCAAUCUGCCCUUCACUCUGGGACAAGCCCUGGAAACGGGGUCUAAUACCGGAUAACACUCUGUCCCGCAUGGGACGGGGUUAAAAGCUCCGGCGGUGAAGGAUGAGCCCGCGGCCUAUCAGCUUGUUGGUGGGGUAAUGGCCUACCAAGGCGACGACGGGUAGCCGGCCUGAGAGGGCGACCGGCCACACUGGGACUGAGACACGGCCCAGACUCCUACGGGAGGCAGCAGUGGGGAAUAUUGCACAAUGGGCGAAAGCCUGAUGCAGCGACGCCGCGUGAGGGAUGACGGCCUUCGGGUUGUAAACCUCUUUCAGCAG
rnacentral:rRNA from 1 species